AAAGUCGUAACAAGGUUUCCGUAGGUGAACCUGCGGAGGGAUCAUUAACGAGUUAGGGUCCCCGGGCCCGACCUCCCACCCUUUGUUGUCGAACGAAUACGUUGCUUUGGCGGUGCCGCCGCCGGGUCCGCCCGGCGCGCAGCCCGCCAGGGGUCCAAACCACAACUCUUGACAUCAACCGUGCGGUCUGAGCGAAUUUGUAAAUAAAGUCAAAA
rnacentral:misc_RNA from 1 species